CCCGCCCCCCCCCCCCCCCCCCCCCCUUUUCCCUCGCUGAGAGCCUGAUAGCCGCCUCCUCUCGGUGUCGUCGCCUCUUCAACGACCGGCCGGCGGCUCUUCGCGUCCUUCUCCCCCGGACGGCAACCUCCGCGGCUCCGGUCACCGACUCACAGUCACCGUUGAAGAUGGCGAGGAAUCAAUUCUAACAUGGAAGAAUCUAGUGAGGAUGAAGAUGACGAGGAAGAGAUGGAAGAGGGAUUACAUGGUUUUGAGAGUUAGAAGAUGCAAGGAUGUUCUACAGUUUUCUAUUAUGGAAGUGGCUUCAAGAAUUAUGAACUUUUAUGAACUUUUGAAUGCACAAAGAUGCAUAUUUGUUAUAAUGUUAAUAGGACAAUGUAAUUUGUAUUUUGUCUAAGUUUGCAGUUUUUAUUAUUGGGUUGUAAUUUUCAGCUGGACAACAAUGUUUCAUACAUUUUAUUUUCUUUCUAUUGGCUUGAAGCUGCAAUUUUUUUCUUUUUUAAUGUUUGUAGAUAUAUCCAAAUUUCAAAGUUUGAAACCACCACCAACACUAUCUAUUUAAAAUAGGCUAGUUAUAUCCUUAACAUUAACCAAUUAACCAAUUUAGAGAGCCCAUUAAGCUGUUGGGCCAUUUUUGCCCAUUUCUAGAUUCCAAACAAAAAAAAAAAAA